GGGUAUAGCUCAGUGGUAGUGUUUGCCUGCUAUGUAAAAGGCCCUGGGUUCAAUCCCUAGUACAACCC
rnacentral:tRNA from 1 species